AUCAGACUAAGCAUAUUUCAUUCAUGAAGAGUGAAAAUACUCGAUCCAAAUCCAUUAGAAGGCCCAUAUAUUUAGAGAGUCUAAUUAAAAUACUAAAGCCAUAUCAUCCUCUACACCCUGCCCUUACUACAAACCCUAAACAAAAUGGGUUAGCAAACCCGAAAACAUCAAACCCGGUGAGGAGGAGCGCUCGCCAUCACACUGAGAUGACCAAACCAAUAGCCGCAGAGACAGCCACUCAGGGUCCCUUAAGAGAGGAAAGCUCCACCAAAGCAUAGACCAUGCAAUAACCAUGGAGAGUUCCCAACCUAAAUCAACUUCAGGCACAGGCAAUCUGGGAAAUCAGACUUAAAGCCAACAUAAAUGGACAUGGAUCAUGGAACGCCGGCGAGCCAGAAGAGGCUAUUCAUGACCGAACUCAAGCGCACCAGAACGAUCCUUAACUUGCCAGCCAAAGCAGGGAGAUCCCCUGUAACCAUUCACUAAAACAGAGCAAUAAGAAGUGAGGAAAACUGCGUCAAUGGACUCCGAUCAGAAACGUGAAGGUCGAAAAGCCAACAUGCAGAGCUUCCUCCAUAACUAUGCAACAAAGCCCCAUCCAAUGGAGGGGUACUAACUCUCCACAAAAGGAGACUAAAGUAAACAGGGAAACUAAAACAAAACAGAAAGGAAGGAAACGCAGAUCUAAAAAGUAGAUAGGGAGAGGGUCGAUGGCCAAGCGGCCCGACCUCCCCCGAAAACUAGUACUGUGUAGAGAAACUAUAGAUUGAAAAGUUAAGAGUUAUUUUUCUAAGAUUGAAUCUAUUGAUUGGGUAUGUGCACCUAGUAUUUAAGAUUUUAUUUUUCCUCUGAAAAUCAUAAUUUACAACAUAGUAACCCUAAAAAUUCUGAAAUUAAUUCAAUCUGAAGUCAUCAUACAUUAAUAAUACAUUUUCAUAAUACAUCUCUUGAUCUUUCUCUUCUCUGUUAUACUUGUUUCUUUUCCUUCUCUUCUUUCUUCUAUUUCUUCCCCCUUUCUUCUGUUCUGUUGUAGCCAAGUCACAACAGAUAUACUCACGAAGAUUCAGAACUCCUACAUGAGAUGGUAUAGGUAAAUGUUCCAGUUCCAGGAGCUGGAGGGCACGUAGACCAUUUAAUGGGGAUGGAGAUGGGGAUGGGGACUCAGGGCUGCAUUGAUGAAUUUCUAAGCGUUCAUGGACUACGACUCUUGUGUGUGGAUUCCUUGGAAAUCUUGAAAACAAUGCACCAAAGGCAAAUAUUAUUGGCCAAACUGAGAAUUUGUUAGGGUUGUUAGAGUCAUGAGACAGAAAGGCAUAAGUUAUGGUUGCAAAAACCCAUUGAAAGAUGCCACAGACUAAGCCAACAAUGUCUGGAAAUGUCCCCAGAGGCUUGUAAUUUAGAUUGCGGGAGUAAAACCAAGGUAAAUAACCUCUCACCAUCCAUUCAACUCUUUCUUUUCUACCCUUAUCAGCAAGGUCAAUGAUGGAGAACAGCAUGGUUGCUAAUGACAUUAACAUACUAAGCAGUGCAUAUUGGGGUUUGUGCACUGAUGAUAGCUGAUCAAAAACGGCUGAUGGAAGCUCCACUGCGAAAUUUAUGAUAAGCAAACUCCUUUCCACGAUUAUAUCCCUUCGAUCCAAGGCAUCCACACCGUUUUGCAUAUCUUCUUGAGCAUCGACGUAAACAGAAUGCUCAGUUUCCAAUGGAAGAGGUAAACCAACAUUGGAUUGAAUGGAGCUAUGAUCACUAAAGAUCUGUUGAGUGAAGCCAUCAACAGUAUUGCCACUAUCUUCUUCGUCCACAUCUAGGUAGAUGGUGCUAUUUUCACUGUCCAACAGCGGUCGCACAGAAGGCCCAAUAUCGAAUUCCGCCAUAACCUCUUCCAGCUAGGAUGCUUCAGAUGAUCAUCGAUAAGAUGGAAAAUGGAAGGGAGGAUGGUGGAGGAAAUUAAAUAUUUAGUUAAUCUUUCA
rnacentral:misc_RNA from 1 species